UGGAUCAGAACGAACGCUGGCGGCGUGCUUAACACAUGCAAGUCGAACGCAGCCUUUCGGGGUUGAGUGGCGCACGGGUGAGUAGCGCGUGGGAACAUGCCUUUCAGUGGGGGAUAACCGAGUGAAAAUUCGGGUAAUACCGCAUACGUCCGGGGCGAGAGCUAUGGGGAAAGACUUAUCGUUGAAAGAGGGGCCCGAGUCGGAUUAGCUAGUUGGUGGGGUAACGGCCUACCAAGGGGGUGAUCCUGUAGCUGGUCUGCGAGGAUGAUCAGCCACACUGGGAUUGAUUCACGGCCCAAGAUACUACGCGAGGCA
rnacentral:rRNA from 1 species